CGCCCGGCAGGGUGGCACCUCCUCCUCCCAGGUGGGGGGCGGACGCACUGGUUGGCUGGGGACGGAGACGUCAUCCUUGAUGUCACGGAUGUGGGCGGUAUCUAUGCAGAUGAGGGUCGCGCAGGGGCUGCGGCGUCCGCACUCGCUGCAAGACAUGGAGGGAUUUCGCGCGCGGCCUGGGGGGAUCGCGGGUGGGCGGGCGUGAGCGUAGCGCAGGAGCGGGGUGCGCGUCGGCGGAGGCCCCGGAGCGCGCGCGGCGAAGUGACCGUGUGUUGAGAGCGCAGGGCCGGUGUGGCUGAUUCGGGCCUGCGCCUGUGGGAAGCAUACUUACCUGGCAGGGGAGAUACCAUGAUCAAGCAGGUGGUUUUCCCAGGGCGAGGCCCAUCCAUUGCACUUGGGGUGUGCUGACCCCUGCGAUUUCCCCAAAUGCGGGAAACUCGACUGCAUAAUUUGUGGUAGUGAGGGACUGCGUUCGCGCUCUCCCCUGGUAAUCUGGUUGCAAAGACAGUUUUGUUGUACUCAAGUUACACUUACUUAGUCUGUAACAUUUUCAGUUGAACAACAGCAACUGCCGUUUCUGACAAGAGAAAGCAUUUCUUUCUCCCUCCCCACCCAAGUUUUCCAUUAGUUAUUUCAGAUUACGAAAGUAAUUUGAGUUACGACUAAAGAAGGUCGAGCCCGCCGUUUUUCCGGGACCCUGCCUUCGAUUAUCUCAAUGGAUAUGUUGCAGUUAUUUUCUACACUACCUGGACACUCGUCCAGGGGUCUCCCCGAGAACCCUUCUUUCUCAGAGCGCAUAAAAUUCUGGUGACUGAGGCCCCAAAUUCGGUUGCCCGAAAGGCCACCUCCCUUUCCUGCUUGCUCCUUCGCCUUAGGCUAGCUCUCCUAGCGCCCCUGCUUGCUCUCCCAACUCUCUCCACCCCGUGGAUUGUCCCUGCUAAUGACGCAGGUUCGGGGAUCAGAUCACUGGCCUGGGUUUCCUUUUCCACAAACCAACUGCUCCUGCUUUCCAGUUCCAUGUGAUAAUUUCCUUGGCCCUUUUCUCUGUAGAGACAUCAGACAGCAAUGACGCCACCAAUGCCCAUCCCUGAUCCCUGAAUAAAACUUAAUGCAGGGUGCUAAAAAGAAACCCCUUGCCCUAUUUAUGCUUUUCCUGAUUUGUUCCAACUGUAUGCAGUUAAGUGCUGAUACUUUUCCAAAAGUAGAAUUUAAGAUUACGAUCUAUAACGGUAAUUUCAAGCGGUGAGAAUAUAGAGACCAUUUAUGGUGUCUACAUAAUGAAUAUAGGGAGACCAGUAAAUCAUGAGGACAUUUGAAAAACAAGUUUUCACCUGUCAUAGGAUGUUUCUCUGGUUUUAAACAAACACAUGGUUGUAUUUUAGUGCGGUAUGGGUGACACAGUGAUCCUGGGCUAAGCUGCCUUUGUUUCCAUAUGUUACUGCUCUCUCUAGUUUUCUCACACACCCCGUCUUAGUAACUGUGACUAAGGCUAAGCUGAUGGUUGAAGAGGCCAAACUAUCUCAUCCAAGUGUUAGCCAGAUCUGACUCCACCAAGGCCAUAGGUGAAGCAGUGAAUUUCACUGGGGUUACUUAGAGAAGCAGACUUGUGCGGAUGACAACUCACAAAAGCGGGGAACCUGGAGUGCACUGCACAGCCUGCAGGCAGCUCCACAGAAUAACAUUUGGCGCCCGGACGUGAAAAGGCUCUGCCCUUAUACCUUCUGCGACCUGCUGGCGGGCACAUGUUAGGCUAAGGGUAACCUUACAAUCCACUUCCAUCUCCGCUUUUCCUGGCACUUCCUCCUGCCUGCAGCAGCCUGAGAUGCCGGAACUCAACUCGCCGCUUUCCAACUAAGGAUCUCUUAAACUCACUGAUCUGCCUAUUCGCUACAAUCCGGAUUCUUGUAAGUUCCAGGGAGCCGAAUCAGAUCCAAACAGGUCAGAUUCACUCCAGGUCUAAGAGGCGCCAGGGAGUUGCAUACAGCCUGGACUACAAUGAAACAACCAGCUUCCCCAGGACGUGGCAGCACCCCAACCUUCUCGGGUCCCCCAAAGAUGGUCAACGCCCCCACGUCAGCAGGAAGCAGUCUUAAGAAUUCGACGCCCUUAUUCCUUAACCUGCCAUGUCUAAACACCCCACCUUUUUUAAUAAUAAGUAGAGGUGGGAAUGAAAGGUUCAGGCAUUAUGCUGGCCUGCCCCUGUUACCUGGUGGAAUCCACUCAGGCAAUACCCUGGUCAGCCCAAGGUUCCAUGGGAAAGAAGUCUGCACACAGGUGCAGAGGACCCCUUUAAAAGAUAGGCCCCUGCACCUUUCUCUCUCUCUCUCUGCCCCUUUACGCUCGCGCUCUCUCUCUCUCUCCCCCUGUUCCUGCUCUCUGUCCCCUCUCUCUGUUUCCCCGCUCUGUCUCUCUAUGGCGACCGGCCAUGGCGGUCAGCCAUUACCCUGUUCCUCUUCUUAGUCUCCCCAUUCUACCGGGCCAUAUAAUAAACUUAUAGUCAAUAUGUCUGUCUCAAUAUUUCUCUUUUCUUCUUUUUAAACAAAAGAAUAACACUUAGAGCUUGUGUGUAUGCUUGUGGAGGGAGGGCUCCAGUGAAUCUUGUUAGUUUCAGUGACUUCCUGAAGAAUAUGGAGUUGUUUACUCUUGAACUUCCUGCAGUAUGCAAUGUUUCACUUCAUCUCCCUUUUAACAUCCUGUCUUAACUUCCCUCUAGAACACCCGUUGUUUGGCUUCCUCUUAAAUCCUGUGUGCUAAUGAAAGUCCCUCCAAUAUGGAAUGUUUUAACUUCCCAGGAACAGUUAUACAACAGUACCUCUCUCAUGAGAAUCUUGGCACCUAUGGGGACGUGUGGGGGAGGAGUGGGUGCCCUUCCAGGUUCUGCUUAACAUGAUUAAUGUACCAAACUGCCAUGUUUAAAGCCAGUAUAUCCCAAACCCAUCAUACCUAAGAUGCAAGCCUCAGGAUCCAAAACAGUGACUGCAAAGGCUAAUGCUUACAUUGAAGGAACCGGCUUCCCUUUUGGCAGCCAUAACAGCCGAACACAUGCUUGCCAUAAACCUGCCUUGGUCACGUAGAGGUCAGAUGCCUGUCUCGUGACAAGGAACCAAUCGGAAGUUAGCUGGUGGCGCUAUGCUUUACGACCCUGGGUGUGCUUUACGGACAAGCGCACGACAAUGACGUAGAGAGCAUAGCAACCACCCUGGGAGGGCCUAUGGGCCAUAACAACCAGUUGACCAAUCAACACAGGGCAAGCCCUCCAAGCCUGGAGGCACACCAAUCGUGAGCCUGUGCGUACCCCUAGACACUCCCCUUACGCUGCCCUAUAAGAUCUUUUGGGAGACCCAAGGAGCCGUCUUUUCUAGCUGUCCGCCAUGGUGGGUGGUUGAAAGACCCGAGCUAACAUGGGGUUAGCUCGUUAAAUUACAAUAAAGCCUCGUGCAGUUUGCAGCAAGCUCUCGAAUCCGCCUGGUGAUUGGGGUGACCGCGAACCUGGCCUAAGACCCCGGACACUUGAGUUUUCGGGGGUCUAACAACAUCUAUACAAAGGAAUGAGUUUGUAUUCACUAUACAGUUUUCUCCCAAGUUUAUAUGUCCAAAGUUUAUUAUGAAAACAGCAAUCCCCUGAACUCUGGAAUGCCCGUCCCCUAAGAAAUGCCAUUAUCCAUUAGUGCAGUGGUCGCGUUGUUUGAUAUUUAUCUCAUUGUUUUUCCUUGGUUCUCUUGGUCUCCAUACAAGGCACAAGUUUGUGGGUUCCCUCCCUACGCUAUGCCAGGAGAGCCAGCAAGGAACCUCAGGCAACCGCUGAACAGCUCCUAUGUUCUGUCUUUAGUCUUGGCCAAAGCUGGCUCCUGCGGACGGAUGAGGUUCCUGAGCUCUGUCCUUCUCCCAGCAACCACCCGAAAACAAUCAGCAAAAUAAGAUCAUGAAUGAAACAAGUCGACUGCAGAAGGGCAACCGUAGCCUUUGCUCCAGCCUGCACCGCAAAACUUGCUCCCAGGUACCAAAGGGCAGCUGUGACCAUGUUUCCUGCUAUAUAUAGUUCACCUGCGCAGGGGCCAGAGGCCAGGGGUUUCUGAGAGCUCCAUUUCUGGUGACUGUCAGAGGACCCAGGGAGCCCAGGCAUGGACGCCCUAGUGCGGUGUGGGCAAUUUUGCUCUCUCCGGCCUUUCUGCACUGGCUCAGGACCUGGGACCUUGCUGACCCGGACUCACACUUUGGACGGAAGGCUUAAAUUUUACUUAAAUGGAAGAAAACAACUUUCUCCCAAGGAAAACAUAAAGAUCUCACCUAGAUUUGAAGUCGGACCAUCUGGAUUCAAAGUCCAGAGUGCUCACAAUUAUACCACGGAAUCUUCACAGUGUAGCCACCAUUUAAUCACUCCUGGCCUGUGUAAUGGACAGACAAGCCACCACCCAAUCUUUCCUACUGACUGUCCUACUACUGUAUUUCAUCUACACCUGCGAAAAUGAGACCAAGUCCCCUCAACUCAGAGCUGGGAAGGACUCCUUCCGGCCUCCACCAUCCGUCUCAGAUUGCUACUCCUUGUCCCCGUGACAGUUCUUCCAAUAAAUGGUGUUAGUAUUCUUGUCUUUUGCCCUUUUUCCACCUCCCAGGAACACCAAGAGCAGGAUUUGGUGGUUCCUGCCUUCUUUGGUCACCUAGCAGUCACAAUGGCGCUCUACCACUUCCUAUACUAUAUAAAGUGGAUCAGCAAUGUAGGGGAAGUUUGGAUUCAGGGGAACCCUUUUUGUUGUUUGUUUGUUUGUUUGUUUGUUUUUUACAAGACAGAAUUUAUCCGUGUAGCUUUGGAGCCUGUCCUGGAACUUGGUCUGUAGACCAGGCUGGCCUUGAACUCAGAGAGCUCCACCUGCCUCUGCCUCCCGAGUGCUGGGAUGAAAGGUGUGCACCACUGCCUGGCUCAUAUUUUUAUUCAGAUAUACACAUUUGUGUACCUUUGGUGGGUUUUAUGUUUCUUAUAAUGAAUGUCUUCUUCUCCUUCUCCUUCUCCUCCUCCUUCUCCUUCUUCUUUUUUUUUGAGACAGGGUUUCUCUGUGGCUUUGGAGGCUGUCCUGGAACUAGCUCUUGUAGACCAGGCUGGUCUCGAACUCACAGAGAUCCGCCUGCCUUUGCCUCCGAAGUGCUGGGAUUAAACACCCGCAUGAAUGUCUAUUUUUAAAAUUAAAAAAAUAACCUUUGCCUUCACCUUUAAUUCUAGCACUUGAGAAGUACAAGCAGGUGCAUCUCUUUAAGUUCCUAGCCAGCCAGGGCUACACAGGGAGAGGUCUCAAAAAUCAAA
ensembl:lncRNA